GCGAGAGUGCUGGAAUUGGCAGACAGGCACGGUUGAGGGCCGUGUGGCGUAAGUCGUGUGGGUUCAAGUCCCACCUCUCGCACCA
rnacentral:tRNA from 1 species